rnacentral:rRNA from 1 species
GAGUUGAUCCUGGCUCAGGAUGAACGCUGGCGGCGUGCCUAACACAUGCAAGUCGAACGGAAACUAGACGCUUCGGAGACUUCGGUCAAUGUUUGUUUAGUUUAGUGGCGGACGGGUGAGUAACGCGUGGAUAACCUGCCGUAUACAGGGGGAUAACAGUUAGAAAUGACUGCUAAUACCGCAUAAGCGCACGGGAUCGCAUGUUCCUGUGUGAAAAACUCCGGUGGUAUACGAUGGAUCCGCGUCUGAUUAGCUAGUUGGCGGGGUAACAGCCCGCCAAGGCGACGAUCAGUAGCCGGCCUGAGAGGGUGAACGGCCACAUUGGGACUGAGACACGGCCCAAACUCCUACGGGAGGCAGCAGUGGGGGAUAUUGCACAAUGGGGGAAACCCUGAUGCAGCCGACGCCGCGUGAGUGAAGAAGUAUUUCGGUAUGUAAAGCUCUAUCAGCAGGGAAGAUAAUGACGGUACCUGACUAAGAAGCACCGGCUAAAUACGUGCCAGCCGCAGC